GAGAGAGAGAGAGAGAAGGGAAAAGAAUUAUAGGACUAGGGAAUGAUGUGUUAUGAUGUUGAUUAUGAGACAAAAUGAGAAAGAGAAGGGGAAGAAAGCCAAACCAAGUUCUUCUUUCAGAAUUAGAUGACCCCAAAAAUAUUUUGGUAAGUGUAAUUUGUAGCUCUUAAAGGAAAGAGAAUGCAGGGGGGAAAAAAGAACAAAUCGGUAGAUCAAAGAACUGGUACAGUGAAAUGAUUGUUA
rnacentral:misc_RNA from 1 species